rnacentral:rRNA from 1 species
GAAUAUUGGACAAUGGGCGAGAGCCUGAUCCAGCCAUGCCGCGUGCAGGAAGACUGCCCAUGGGUUGUAAACUGCUUUUAUACAGGAAGAAACACUCUCACGUGUGAGAGCUUGACGGUACUGUAAGAAUAAGGAUCGGCUAACUCCGUGCCAGCAGCCGCGGAAUACGGAGGAUCCAAGCGUUAUCCGGAAUCAUUGGGUUUAAGGGGUCCGUAGGCGGGCAGCUAAGUCAGUGGUGAAAGUCUGUAGCUCAACUAUAGAAUUGCCAUUGUUACUGGUUGUCUUGAAUCAUUAUGAAGUGGUUAGAAUAUGUAGUGUAGCGGUGAAAUGCAUAGAUAUUACAUAGAAUACCAAUUGCGAAGGCAGAUCACUAAUAAUGUAUUGACGCUGAUGGACGAAAGCGUGGGGAGCGAACAGGAUUAGAUACCCUGGUAGUCCACGCCGUAAACGAUGGAUACUAGCUGUUCGAUCUUCGGAUUGAGUGGCUAAGCGAAAGUGAUAAGUAUCCCACCUGGGGAGUACGUUCGCAAGAAUG